AUGAACGCUAGCGACAGGCCUAACACAUGCAAGUCGAGGGGCAGCACAAGGAGCAAUCUGAGGUGGCGACCGGCGCACGGGUGAGUAACACGUAUGCAACCUGCCUGUAAGCGGGGAAUAACCCGUUGAAAGACGGACUAAUACCGCAUAAUACUAAAUUACUGCAUGGUAAUUUAUUUAAACAUUUAUGGCUUACAGAUGGGCAUGCGCAUGAUUAGCUAGUUGGAGAGGUAACGGCUCCCCAAGGCAACGAUCAUUAGGGGUUCUGAGAGGAAGGUCCCCCACACUGGUACUGAGACACGGACCAGACUCCUACGGGAGGCAGCAGUGAGGAAUAUUGGUCAAUGGACGAGAGUCUGAACCAGCCAAGUCGCGUGCAGGAAGAAUGUCCCUAUGGAUUGUAAACUGCUUUUGCGGGGGAAUAAAGUGCAUCACGUGUGAUGUUUUGUAUGUACUCUGCGAAUAAGGAUCGGCUAACUCCGUGCCAGCAGCCGC
rnacentral:rRNA from 1 species